UCCAAUUUACAUUGGCUCAAGUGCUC
rnacentral:piRNA from 1 species